CCUACGGGAGGCAGCAGUGGGGAAUAUUGCACAAUGGGGGAAACCCUGAUGCAGCGACGCCGCGUGAGUGAAGAAGUAAUUCGUUACUGAAAGCUCUAUCUGCAGGGGAGUAAAUGACGGUACCUGAGUAAUAAUCCCCGGCUAACUACGGUCCAGCAGCCGCAGUAAUACGCAGGGUGCAAGCGUUAUCCGGAUUUACUGGGUGUAAAGGGAGCGUAGACGGUGGGUCAAGUCUGUAGUGAAAUGCCGCAGCUUAACUGCGGAACUGCAAUGGAUACUGGCGAACUAGAGUGCGGUUGGGGUAAGCGGAAUUCGUAGUGUAGCGGUGAAAUGCGUAGAUAUUACGAAGAACCCCGGUGGCGAAGGCAGCUUACUAAACUGUAACUGACAUUGAGGCUCGAAAGCGUGGGGAGCAAACAGGAUUAGAUACCCGAGUAGUC
rnacentral:rRNA from 1 species